AGCCAGAGCUGGGCAGCAGCACGCACCCCGCCUCGGGAGAGAAGGGAAGCGCGCGCGGGAGGCUGAGGCAGGCGGCGGCGGCGCACUCACCGCGGAGCCAGCGCGCCCCGGCGUGCGCGUCCUUGGGCCGGAUGAGGCGGCGCUGCGCGUAGCUGCGGCCCACGUACCACAGCAUCCAGAGCAGCUGCAGCAGCAUGAGCGCGUUUCAAGCCCCUUAAAGACAGAAGAACAUCUGGCUCAUUCUUCUCUCUAGCACUAAGCCUGUGCUUUUUUCAACCCACUGGAAACAGCAACGUGAAACUCACAGCUUGUGUCAGGGGCACUUUGGAAAGUGCCUGUCGUUGUAACUUCCCUGGGACACUAUUCCUGUCCCCAGCACCUGCUGUGUGGCAGAGGCGCCAGCUGUGCAUCCUGCGUGAGCUCCCUUUCCAUCUGGCAGUGAGCUUCCCAGGCGGUGGCUGCACAGCUGGGACCCUACAUCCUUGUGCUCCAGAGCUGCCUGGCAGCCUGGUCCCCAGUGGCAAAUAACACCACUUUGUUGUUGUGUUUUGUUUCUUUUUUCUUUUUUUGGAGACAGAGCCUUGCUAAAUUCCUCUGGCCAGACUUGAACUUGUGAGCCUCUGCCUCAGCCUCCCAGAGCUGAGUGAUAAAUUAUACCACAUGCAACCUUUGCCUGCUCUCUGUUCUUUCUGACAAGCGAGGAAGUGUCAUUUUCUGAAUGCCAAAAGUGCUUUGGUCAAAGGACACAAGUUUUAGUUAAAGUCAAGUGAUCUGCUGUACACCACAGUGACUACAGUUAACAACCUGUGAUAUUCUUGAAAAAUACUGAUAGCAGAAGGGUUUGUGCCACACAAAAAAGUAAAGUGAAGUGAAAAUAUGCAAAUCAGCUCCAUUAACCAGUCGAUGUAUCUGCGUUUCAAAGGAUUACAUUGUACAGAAUAAACGUAUACAGUUUUGCAUACUCGUUAAAAAUCAUAAAUUACAUAAAUAAAAUGUUAAUGAAAAUACUGUCUGAUCUCUGCCGCUGGAAAGUCUCUCGAUACGAUAAGCAGAAAUCCAACUUGCAUCAUGCAAGGGUGUCAUGGUUUAUGUCUAUGUCCCCCAGGCCUCAUGAGUUUGCAUUGUUCAUUUGUGAUGGUUCAUUGUAUAGUGCCUGGAUUGAUGGUGUCAGUGCUCCACCCACAUAGGGGUGGAGCCAGCAUGUGAUGUAAUGGCAGGAAGAAGGUGUGUCUUGCUGUUUGCAGCUGCCAUGAACUGUGGUCCAGCCAUGCCCACCUGCCUUGGAGCCAACUGAGUGUGGACUGAACCUCCAAAAACUAAGAAAUAAACCUUUCCUUUCCCAA